AUGUCCGUCCGCACCGAGAUGUACAACACCCGUCCCGAUGGUUCCCGUGACUACCUCUCCGUCGGCCAGUCCCCCGUUCCCUCCCUGUACACCUUCUUCGCCGCCGCCUAUGCCGCCUUCUUCGUCGUGUGGAUCCACCUCGCCCUUUUCAAGAACCGCCUCGCCGCCCACCGGCUCCACCACCUCAUGGCCGGUCUCCUCUUCACCAAGGCUCUCAACCUCAUCUUUGCCGCCGAGGACCAGCACUACUUCCGCCAGACCGGCACCCCCCACGGGUGGGACGUCCUCUUCUACCUCUUCCAGUUCCUGAAAGGCGUCCUCUUGUUCACCGUCAUCGUCCUCAUCGGCACCGGAUGGUCCUUCCUCAAGCCCUUCCUCCAGGAGCGAGAGAAGAGGUGCUCAUGAUCGUGAUCCCGCUCCAGGUCGUCGCCAACAUCGCGUCGGUCGUGAUAGGCGAGACCGGACCCUUCAUCCGGGACUGGGUCUCCUGAAAUCGGGUCCUCCUCCUCAUCGAUGUCAUCUGCUGCUGCGCCAUCCUGUUCCCCAUCAUCUGGUCAAUCAGAUCGCUGCGCGAGACUUCAAAGACGGACGGGAAGGCCGCGAGAAACGUUGCCAAGCUCACUCUUUUCCGGCAGUUCUACAUUGUGGUGAUCGGGUAUCUGUACUUCACGAGGGUUGUGGUGUACGCGCUGAAGACGAUCACGUCUUACAAGUAUCGGUGGCUCAGCGUGGCAGCCGAAGAGACAGCGAGCCUCGCCUUCUACAUCUUCAUGUUUUACAUGUUUAGGCCGGUGGAGAAGAACCACUACUUUGCGCUCGAUGACGAAGAGGAAGAGGCCGCGGAGAUGGUGCUUCGCGACGAAGAAAUCGAGCUUUGAAUGACAGUGAAUUCCCAGUAUGCCUGUAUGGGAAUGUUGUAAUAUGGAUAAAACGCUUUAGUUAUAAUUUUGGACGUUUCAUCUA